rnacentral:lncRNA from 1 species
CAGAACAUGACGUUGUUUCAAGACAAAAUUGUGGACUGUUACCGAAGAUACGCCUUGUUGGUUGUCGCAACGCGCCCUGAUCUUCUCGGCGAGGAACUGAGCAAUAACAUCGACAAGAUUACAAGGGAAACUAGGGUAUGCAUGAAGAAGAGAAUGCCGAAGGACAAAGACGUCAUGCUGGGCGUGAUCCGCUACAUACGGCGACUCUUCUUCAUGGCAUGAUCCUACUGAAAUGCUGUGUGCCAA